GCCGGUGUGGCGGAAUUGGCAGACGCAAGGGACUUAAAAUCCCUCGGUAGCGAUACCGUACCGGUUCGAGCCCGGUCACCGGCACCA
rnacentral:tRNA from 2 species